AGAGUUUGAUUCUGGCUCAGGAUGAACGCUAGCUACAGGCUUAACACAUGCAAGUCGAGGGGCAGCAUUGGAGUAGCAAUACUCAGAUGGCGACCGGCGCACGGGUGAGUAACACGUAUCCAACCUGCCGCUUACUCGGGGAUAGCCUUUCGAAAGAAAGAUUAAUACCCGAUGGUAUAAAGAGUUCGCAUGUUCUCUUUAUUAAAGAAUUUCGGUAAGCGAUGGGGAUGCGUUCCAUUAGAUAGUUGGCGGGGUAACGGCCCACCAAGUCUACGAUGGAUAGGGGUUCUGAGAGGAAGGUCCCCCACAUUGGAACUGAGACACGGUCCAAACUCCUACGGGAGGCAGCAGUGAGGAAUAUUGGUCAAUGGACGCGAGUCUGAACCAGCCAAAGUAGCGUGAAGGAUGACUGCCCUAUGGGUUGUAAACUUCUUUUAUAAGGGAAUAAAGUGAGGGACGUGUCCCUUUUUGUAUGUACCUUAUGAAUAAGGAUCGGCUAACUCCGUGCCAGCAGCCGC
rnacentral:rRNA from 1 species